rnacentral:lncRNA from 1 species
UGACAAGAAGCACGGCUUCAACUUGAAAAUGUAAAAGCUGCUCUGGGGAGAAUUUUCAGAGAUAGAUCCCAGUAAUGAGCACAGCCUGGCAAGUCGAAAUCACUUCUUACACACUGCCCUCAGGUCCACAAGCACUGCUUUCCUGAUGCCACACUCAGCAAAAGCAUGAUUCUUGAAAAAUGCAUGCCCAAGAUGUCAACCAAAUGCUUUGGGAUUCAUGGUUACACUGCUGGAGAAUCCACGGGCAUUCAUACCCCAGACAACCUGUCAAACCCUCUGAUCUUGGGGCUCUGCCACGAGUAUGGAUGGAAAUGACCCCCAGUCAUGUGAAGGAAGAACUGUACCCAGUCUCAGUAGAGGCCUUUUGGACCUGAGAGUUGGAAGCAACCUGUAACUCAACUUUCCUCACUGGACACGUACUUGGGAUUCUGCCUUGCCAUCUCUACCCUAUCUCUGAACCCAGAAGGGGCAACCUCAAGCAGCAGCUGAUCAUGUCAGGGCUCUUCCUCCUCUACCAGCCAUUACCUCUACCAACAACUGGGAUCCCAUCCUUCUGACUCCUGGUCCCACCCAGUUCUCUCUGCCUUCCUCUUGAGCACCUGUGAGCCUGAUUUGGUCUCCCUCUCUCUCUUAAAAAAAAAAAAAAAAAGGAAAAGGAAAGAAAGAAAAAGAAAAAUCAAAUGCCUUAAGGAGUAUGGUUUUCUCUCUUAAAUUCUCCCANAAAAAAAAAAAAAAGAAAAGAAAAAAGAAAAAGAAAGAAAAAGAAAAAUCAAAUGCCUUACGGAGUGUGGUUUUCUCUCUCAAAUUCUCCCGUAUCCCUCAUUGUGCCCUGUCAGCACUCCUUUAAUUCAAUCAGCCAAACACACUUCUAGGCAGGUAACCUGCUUGAAAUAUCCCUGCUUUCUCUCCUCCCCAUAUUUUAAGUGAUGUGACUUUAGGUAGGAUUUUCCUUCAGUGGUACACGAAAAAUGGAGAGUCUCAGAUGGGAGAAAAAUAGGAAACUCUUCAGAGAAUCCUCAAGAUGACCAAAGGACAUCGACUUUUACAGUCUGCAUUCAUAUGCAGCAACCUAGCUCUAAAGAUGCCAUCACCAAGCAAGGCUGAUCCUGGAACACUGCAUGCCCAAUAACCAAACUAAUAACUUUUGGGUUCAGCUUUCUGCCUGUGCAGGAUUCAAAGUCAGUCAGAACCUUGGACAGCCUGUCCAGAUGUCUGGACUUUUGGCUACCCCUGCUCUCCAAAAG